rnacentral:misc_RNA from 1 species
AACGGUCUAUACCUGCGGUACCUGCGGAAGGAUCAUUACAUGGCGGAGAAGGUGGGCAACCUGGCCAACAUCCAGGUUGUGAUGCCUUCACGCUCUUCCACCCUUGUCUAUUUGCACCUUCUGUCGUUCCCUCGGCGGGUUUCGACCCGCCGGCGGCAACAUUGAAAAACCCUUUUUGCAGUUAGCAUUCAAUUCUUCUGAUCAAAUAUUAAAUCAUUACAACUUUCAGCAAUGGAUCUC